rnacentral:tRNA from 1 species
GUCUCCGUGGCGCAAUUGGUCUAGCGCGUCUGACUGUUAAUCAGGAGGUCGGAAGUUCGAGCCUUCCCGGGGACG